GAGCAUGUCAGUCUUUUUGUACUGGGGCAUAUGAUCUUCGAAAUAUCAAGGACUAAAGAAAAGUAAGGAAUGGAAAAUUCCAUACCUAAAGACUUACCAUGAGUUUGCAAUUUGGUUUUUGUUUGUUUUCUUUAAAAAAAAAGAAAAAGAAAAAGAAAAAGUUACCCAUUCUCUUAAUCUUAGGAUCAUUGCUUUAGCAUCAUUAACACGGUUCACAUUGUGGAGGUCAAGUGUAUAAUCAUUCAUGAUUUAUUUGAGCUGAUUUCUUAGAAAGACAAAAGAAUUAUGCAAUAAGGAGAUCUAAAACAUACCUUUAGUUAAAACAGACAGAAAUCAUAUGUGAUUUUAUUUGUUCUCAGAAAUACACUCACUCACACACAUGUAGUCAAACACUUCAGUUAAUGAUCUUCUCUUUUCUGCUCCAGCAAUUAAAAAAAAAUAUUCUAUACAUUUCUAUGAAAAUUUCAAAAAAAGAGAAGCUAUUGUUCUAUUGUUUUUCAUUGUUUAUAGGUAUUUUAGAGGCUUUUAAAAAGAUUAUUAGUAUUACAUUAAUUUUAGUACCUAAGUUGAAGUCAUAUAGUUCUGAAAGAAACUCCCAGAUAGUGAGUAUAUAUUUCAUAGCUACAUAGAUAUACAGUCAUUUAAUAAUGUGUAAACUUUUAAGUACAUUAGUCAGAACACAAACAUGAACAAUAUCACAUCAGAAUGAUAUUUAAUAUUAUAAAAAAGCACAGAACAAAACAUGUAGAAAUAUGUUUAAAUUUUCAUUUGCAUAAAAAUUAAUAGCUGGGCUUAAACAUGACAAUAUUUACAAAUGAGAAUAGUUAAACCCAACACUAACAUGAAAUUACUGAAAGUGCUAAAAAAUUACUAACUAAAAAAUAUAGACUGUGAUGGUCAAAGUCUACUAAUGCCACAGGAGUGCUGCCAGUACCAGAGUGAAGCUAAAAGGAGGCAGAAAAGAGAUUGCAUGUGGCGAGUGUUUGACCAGGUGGUGAUUGACAUUGAAAAAAGACGCACCAAUAGAAUAGAUAGGUGUAAAAUGCACUAGAAGUGAAUUUUUCCAUAGGUCUAAUCAUGUAAUGUUUCUGUAUCAGGACACUAAACUCAUAGAAUAAGAUUGGAGUGUCCUGUCCUACUCUCUUUUUAACAUUCAUUUGCAAAUGAUUGCUAUCAUUUUCUUUCUUUUUUUAAUAAUAAAAUGACUUUAAGUGCUUGUAGUUCCUGUAGAGUUAGUAAUGAUGUCUUCUUGUUUCAUUAGAGGUUUGAAAAUUUUGAUGCCAACAGUGAUGGCUGAGCUAGAACGGGGAUUUGGUAAUGAAAACAUCAACUGAGAGUUCUAGAUGGUAGGCCUUCCUUCCCUGAAGGAGGAGGAGAUACAUGAUUGAUAGUAGGUAAGGGCUGGAGACAUGUCUCAAGGAAAGACUCUCCUCUUAUACAAUUGCCUUUAGGCAAGAGAAGGAGGAGGACAAGGAAGAGGAGGAAGAAGAGGAGGAGGAGGAGGAGAAAGAGGACAAAUAUAUUUUAUUUAGGGCUCAAAUAGACCUUCAUAGCUUAUAGAAUAUGAUCCUAAAUGUAUUGUCAUUCCACACAUUCCAUAUUUUACUAUUAAUUUCAUUUUAUACAUAUUUUAUGUUUUAUGGGUAUUUUACAUGGAUAUAUGUCUGUGUGUGUCCUACAUGUGUGUCUACUGCUCACAGAGCCCAAAAAGGGAUGUCAGAUCACUUGGAACUGGAGUUAUAGAUGUUUGUGAGCUGCCAUGUUGAUGCUGGUAAUAAAAUUCAUGUUCUCACAGAACCAAUAAGUGCUCUUAACUGAUGAGCCAUCUCUCUAGCCUCCUAUAAGAAGUGAAGAAAUGCCUCUUAUUUGCUGUGGUAAUCCUAGAAAUAAAUGUUAUCUGGUACCUCCAAAAUACAUUGUUAAACUUUGAAUGUUCAUUCAGAUUAAGUUUAAUACACACACACACACACACACACACACACACACACACACACACACACUGACAGAGAUAUAUUCCUAGUUGUCUUUCCCAUGCUUUUUUUGGUUGAUAGAGAACAAAAGAAUAUCAAACAAAUGUGUUUACGAAUCACAGGGGACUUGAUCUGUGCAUAAAAGCAAAAUAACAACAAAAACUCAUACAUAUAGAACAUACAAUCAAGAAAGAUUUUAUUUUGAACCAACAGCAUGAACACUCUUGAGACUUCAUUGCAGGCCACUUGUUUCUAUGCACUAGUCAAUAAAAUUGAUAUGAUAAAAAACCCAUGUCAUAGCAGAGAUUCUGAAUACAAAGACUGCUAAUGGUUAACGGUUGCUGUUAAUUGCAGGGGACGAGAAAAUGCUGUCCCUUUGCUCCACUACAAUGGACUGAAACAUUCUGUUUGGUUUUAUUAUAAGAAAUAUCUGGGUCUCUGACCACUAAUUGUAGGUCUGAGCUUUGGCUGAAGCCAAGGUCAUGAAAAUCAAUAGGGUGCCACUAACACACCCAUUCAACUCAUACUGGUAACCACUGUAUAAACAGUCUACAUUUUAAGUAGCAAGCACUGCUACCCUGUGAUGGUUGGAUUUUCUACAUUAUCAUGAAGACAUAUCCUCUGCUGUAUAGUUCCCACUUGUUUUGGGUAUUUAGUUUAGUUUAGUUUAGUUCAGUUUUGUUUUGUUUUUCUUAAAUAAUCCAAUCAUUCCUAAUAUGCAGGGUUAAAAGUGCCUUUGAUUCCAUGUUGGCUUCAUUAUUGGAGUUAUAAGACAGGAAAAUCAUAUUCUAGAACAAAGAAAAUAUAUGGUUUCAGGUUACAAAUGAAUAUUAUAUGUAUAUAUUUAUACGUACAUAUGUGUACGCAUAGAGGAACAUAGAUAGAUACAUAGAUACAUAGAUAAAAAUGAUACAACUUCAAUCAGUGUUGUAGUUGUUCCAUGAUGAGAAUAGCACACCUUAUGUGAUGCACAUAUUUGAUGUAUAUCAUCUCCUCUUUGUUCUACACUCUAAUUAAGGAUUUGGUCAGAGCAAAGCUUUUUGGUUCAGUUAGCCAUACACCUUGAGCUGGCUGAGAAGGGUUGCAUAUAGUUAUCAAACAGUAUUUCCUUAGUGUCUUUAAUUCAAGGAAAAAAGUAAAAUCAGAAGGAAGGGAAACAGAUCCUAAGAUGCUGAUUGAAUACAUUCCAGUGUGCAAUUAUCAAGUCAAGACCAGUAAAAAGACUCGUCAGUAUAAGAAAAGUAUUCCUAGUUAGCAGGGAGGCGGCCACACUGAAGCAUCCUGAACACAGGUAAAUUCAUCACAAUGCCAGGAGAGAUACUUAACUUCACAGAGCCUCAGUUUAUUUAUUUGCAACAGGGAAGGGAAGAACCAGGUAGUUUGUUAGGCUUGUCUGUUUCACUUCUAUGUCUAGAUAAUCAUCAGCUACACAAUUACUUUCUACCCUAUCAUCCCACCUCCCUCUCCAAAUCACCUGAUAUUCAUGCCAUUGUGACUGCUAUAAUUCUAGGUAUUAUUCACGACAGCAUAGAUCCCAGAGGAACACCAGGGAAGAUUUAGGAGGACUCUCAAAUACUCACCCAAGGGAAAUCACAACACGCUCUCUCAACCACAGCAUGGCAGAGAGCAAAGCCAGACCAAACUCCAACACACUGCUGAUCAGCAUCACUGAAAGGGCUCCCUAAAUUCAGGAGACAAGAGGUCGGUGUGACUGAGUCAGCCGAAUCCCUCAUACCUGAGUGGGAAGUGACUGGAGAGAUGAAACCAUCUCUACC
ensembl:processed_transcript